UUUUUGCUGAAAUUGUAAACAUUACUUUCGUUUUCUGAAAUCUAUUAUUUGAGAUUAACAACUUACUUCGGGUGGAUUAUAAGACUGAUUUCAGUGUGAAUCGGAAACUGUGCUUGUGAAACUGCCGGGUGGAUGGGGAGAGAAAUGUUCAUUUCGGAAGUGUUGACAGAAGUGCAUGAAACAGAUGGUGUUGCAGUAGAACAUGUUGCCAAAAGCAGUCACAUGUGAGGGAAAAUCUGGACCACUGCUCCGGAAGAUAGAGUACGUAUGGGUACUUCGCUCUUUGAAGUUUCCGUCAAUGCUUCCCACGAUGCUUCGCAAUGUGACAGGCUCAUAUUCAUCAUCAUCAUUAUUGCGAAUGGAGAGCAGAUAUGUGGCAAGAUAUUCAUUUAGAUGGUCGACUGAUAAAUUGUGGAUUGCCUUCGUUUCGCCUUUCUUGGCAAUAUAUUUUUUAAAUCGACUGACAUCUGCCAGUGUUUUCCGGAUAGUGUUUUUGUUAUCUUCGGCUUCGAUUAAUUUUUGUACAUCUUCGGUUGUCAUUUCUAUGGCGACUGAUUUGUUUUCACCGUUCUCAGUUUUUGAUUUUGUUUCAGUAAAGGAUUCUAAAUAACUUUUAUUUAAAUUGACAUUUGCAUUCGUGAUUUCAUCAAAUGGUUCAUUAAACACACUCGGAUUUAUUCCAAACUGAUUGGCAAAGUCUUCUUCAGACAUAACAACUUCCUCCAUUAAACCGUCCCAAACAAUGUUAAAUAUCUCCAUCCACAAAGUCUGACAUGGUAAUGUUUAUUUAUUGUAUUUAUAUAUGUUUUUUAUGUUUAAGUCUUUAUUUUCACAAGAAAUUAGCUUUUAACGAGCCUUAUCAAACACAAUUCAUGUGGCAAAAUUGGCAAACUGUAGAAGACAACAAAUGUAACCUUAAUAAUAAUUUAUGAUUUAAAAUUAUUUCAUUAUUUAAUGCAUAUUACAUUGGGUUUUAUUGUGAAGUGUGUUACUAUUUUAUUUUUUACUAUUUUUACUGCUUUUUAUGCCCCCCUUCGAAGAAGAGGAGGUAUAUUGCUUUGCUCAUGUCGGUCGGUCGGUCGGUAGGUCGGUCGGUCGGUCCGUCCACCAGGUGGUUUCCGGAUGAUAACUCAAGAACGCUUGGGGCUAGGAUCAUGAAACUUCAUAGGUACAUUGAUCAUGACUCGCAGAUGACCCGUAUUGAUUUUGAGGUCAUUAGGUCAAAGGUCAAGGUCACAGGUGAAGGUCACAGUUAGUGGAAAUAGGCAUUAUAAGGAUUUAGCAUGGUUCAAACAAGGGAAACAACUACGGUUUAUGCAUGUUCUUUUUAUUACAGAUUUGCCUCCCUUUAAUUCACUCAAAAUCUCAUUUUACAGCAGAGAUUCCAAAUCUGACCUGUAAAUGAGCCCCAUAUUUACUGCCAGUGCUAGGUUACCUUUUCCCAUUUGAUCAUUCUUAAGUAUUGGUAUUGUAAUGCUGCUAUUGCUGCUGCUACUGCUACUGCUACUGCUACUACUACUACUACUACUACUACUACUACUACUACUACUACUACUACUACUACUACUACUACUACUACUACUACUACUACUACUAUUACUACUACUACUACUGCUACUACGACUACUUCUACUACUACUACUACUAC